UGAGGAGGUAUUUUGCUGAUUUUCCUUGGAAUGACUACUGCUUCCGUGUCAGAGACCCGUCUUUGUGUGCUGAGCGCAUAACAGAGGUGAUACCCAGUGGGCAAAUGUCACGUAAUUCACGUGGAAUACACGUGGAUCCUGCACGUGGAUUACUCAUGGAUAUUUGAUGGAAAAUGCAAAAUCGAAUUCACGUGAAAAUGAACACGUGGAAUACACGUGUACAAAUUCACGUGUAAUACACGGUAAUAUCUGGUGGAAUAAUCCAUGUGUUUAUUUAUCCGCUGCAUUAUCGUGCUCUGGUAAUCUGCAUGUCAUCAGUGCAUCCAGUCUCUCAGUAUAUGUUUCUGUAUCAUUUACGUAAGCUAUAGUCGAAUAGGCUAUUAUAAACAGAAACAUAUCCUUUACGAGACCGCACAUUGUUGACAGGCAGGCUGGUAGAGCACGAUAAUGCAGCCUUCACACUUGUUGAAUGCAACCAUAGUACUGUGCAAUUUCAGAAUACAAGGUAGGCAUGUAAAAAAUACAAGUAAUACAGAAAGUGUGUAUAUAUACUCGUAUAUUCUUCAGUCUUACACUUUUUCAUAAAUUUAAUAAUCUUCAUCCUUGUAAAAAUAUCAAAACCAAAAUAAUUUCCAUAUUUUAUGAAAAAAAAAAAAAGUUAGUGCUUGCAUUUUUAUAUAUAAAGGCUUUCAAGAUAUCUGACUUGAAUGAAGAAUAACUGCAAUAUAUAAAUGGAUGAUCCCAGUAAUACAAAAAAUUAAAACUUUGUUUAGCCACAAUCCAUCCAUAGCCUGACACCUGCUCCUAUGCAUUACCUCCCCAUGCCAUGGUCCAGAACAGCAGAAACCACCCUUGAACUGUGAGGGUGACCAUCCGCCAUCCCGGGCCACGACUCAAUAAAUGGGUUCCCAUGGCACUUGUGCCUAGCAUUAUCCCUGGGCAUGUGCCACAAGUGGGACUAUAAAAGGUAGAGAAGAAUGGGCAGAUCCCCAGCCUAGUGUCACCCUAAACAGUAGAGGUAUAUAGAACAAGAGAAAGACAGAAAUGGCUAUGGGAAGUAAAGGACACCAACCCUCACUCUGACAAAGAGUCAGCCCACCACUCGGAAAAGUAAGAGAACGUAAAAGAAAA